UAGUGUUUGCAAACCGAUUAUUUCUAGAUUUUUUAAAUACACGCUUAAAAAUGUUCCCGACUUUGCAAGAAGUAAACUGGUAGACAACUAUAUAUAAAGUAACAUUGACUAGAUUUAGCGUUAAAUGGAUAACUUAAAUUUUAGUUAUGCAUCAUCUAGCCAUAAUUUUAGUUAAGUCGGUAUAUUACUUUAAACUAAGUUAGACGUUACACCAAUCAGGGUCAGACUGUACUAGCAUUUACUACAUUCCGGGUACUUUGUCCCGCCAAAAAAAAGCUUGGCCCACGCUCCAAUUUUCCAUCGUCGUUGUAACAAGAGUGAGUGCCCGAGUGCGAAUUAAAACUAAAGUAUAUAUUAAUUAAUUUGCCUAAUAAUUAAUUAGUUGAAGCUCAAAUAUUCCACAAUUCCACACCAACUGUACUAGAUAUGGAAGAAACUGCUCGACUACUAUCGCAAUGUGGGCUGGAUUGCUAUUUUGAUACUUUCAAGGAAAAUGCAAUAACGGACGACGCGACGCGAGAAGAUUUGGCAACAAUUGUACCAAUACGAAACUUUGGAAGGAAUUCAGAAGUAGAAAAAUGGCACGAUUUACGUAUGUUUUCAAUGCAAAAAUUCCUAUCACCAUUACUCUCCGAUCACUUUAAAUAUGUGCAUAGGUUAUCAAAGUUAAGGCAAUUAUUUCAUAUUAUUUUUGGUUGUUUUGUAAUUGUGAUUUAAAGAGUUCAAGUGGAUUUAAUUGAAAUAAAUAUAUGCUAAUGAGGA